AGCUUUUCGAAUCCGUGCUGAGAAUUCGUCAGCCACCAACCCAAUAUGGCUGGUCAGACUCCCAAGAUAAGUGAAGUU
rnacentral:pre_miRNA from 1 species